ACACACACAGACGCAUAUACAUCUAAAUCUAGGAUAGGCUUCAUUCAGUUCUUGUCAACCAAAUCCACUCUAAAGUCUUUGAUCGGCCUGGGACCGUCGUAGAAGACGUUUGCCCAUGCCAUGCUGGCAUAAAAACCCCAAACCAUCUUGUUGGGACACGAACUUCUUAUGACACAGCCAUGCUUGUAUAUGUAUAAACACAUACAUACAUGCACAUAUGUAUGUGUUUAUACGUAUGUAUGUAUGUAUGCCUGCGCUUCUUUUUGAAUCGUUUUAAAAAUAAUUUUAUAACUUUCUCUUUUGUCCAAAUUUAAUUAAUCAAAUGGAAAUUUUCAUUCGGGAACAUUAAUAGACUGUUUCGCCUCGUUGAGUUAUUGUUUAACCCCAGGUCAAUCUUGAAGGACAGACACAGGGUCUAAAAAUAUUGCCGCAAAGAUCUGGGUUUAGGAGCAUCUAAAACUUCAUUUUAAGACGUAGGGGAUGUGAUUUGAACGAGAUUUAGCUGCUAUUUCUAGUACGUCCUGGAACUAUGUAACAGGCUUUUUUUUUCUUUCUUGGAUGUGUCACAUUGAACGGCGACGACCUUAGUCCAGGUUUAAAUCUUUUUUUUUUUUUUUAUAAUUCCGUUUGUUGUAGAGUAUUAUUAAAUCGAUGCCAGUACUUGAUAAAUAUCGUAUCGGCUCCGGAAGGAUGAAAAAGCAAAAUUGAUCGCUGUGAGAUUUGAAAAUAACAAAAAGGUUCAUAAUUAAACAGCACACGGUAAUAUCAUUUGUUGUUCUAUCGAAUCUCACAUGAAAUCGUAUUUUGGAUUCCGCUGUCGAUAUUCAAAAAUAUUUUUAGUUUCGUCAUUUUGAACAAUGUUGAGAUUGUGUAGUUGUAGUUGAUUGAAUCGACCCAGUUUCAGAACUGGUACCUACUCCGACUAGAUCUCUCAUUGUGGACGAGCUAAGAACAGCAACGAAAGUUUUUACCGGGUUUUACCUAUGGCGAAAAGAGAGAUUUAAACUUUUAUUUGUUUGCCUCAAGCGAAAAUAAAUAUUUCAUGUCGGUUAGGUGGAAUGGUGCGAUGUAUAAGUGGAGAGGAUUAUAAUAAGCCAAGUGUUUUUUUAAUUUUUUAUCGUGGUUAAGAAUUACAUUUGAUGAAUCUAAAAGAGAGACAAAGUGGGUUGUGGCCACUCCCCCUCAUAAUAUACAACCUCGAGGGACGAAACUCUAUCGUGUGUAAGUAUUGAGGUCGGCGCUCGAUUUUCUUUGGAUAGCUUCAUAGCUUUUGUUCCUCACACACACACUACACACAUACACACAUGCUACCACGACCAAGUGCGGUUGUUACGACAACCUAAACUAUAAACACUAGGAUGAUUCUGUGUGUAUAUAAUAUAAUGUAUAUAGAAUGGAAUAUAUCAGAAAUAUCGUGAGAGGCGGGAGAGUUUGUGCAGAAAACACAGAUAUUUGUAUAAUGAUGUCAACAGACCUAACAACGGAGUAGAAAAGGUACACCCAUUAAAGACGAGGAUAUUCUUGUUAAUAGGAAUGCUAGAUGUGGAUCGAAGUCUAAGAGAAGUGGAUAUUGAUGAAGAGGGAAGCAAAACUAAGAAGAUCGGAAAAUAAAAGAAGAAAAUCAAGAGAGAAAAACCGUACAAACAAAAGAAUCAUUGUUACACCUGCCCGAACUUUAAAUUAGUCUGCCUAAACUUUUAUCUAAGCAAAAGUUCAAGGCUGCGUGUUCGAUUCUUUAAAAAUCAACGAAUAUUUAAAAAUCCACAGAUUGAUCAAACAAUCUUUGUUUUUAAUUAAAUUUUCAGAUUUCAACGUUUAAAGAUUUCUUCUUAAAAUAUAUGGAUUGUUCUUUUCAAAGAAACAGAAUGGAUUUGUUCGUGGAAAACCCAGUAUUUUUGGAGAUGACAGUGAUGUAUGUAUACUCCAUGUGGCGUUAUUGUAAUGAUGGAAGUAUAUUGAAUGUAGUGCUCUUGUAAUGGUGACAUUUCAUUAUUUUAGUUCUGUUAGUAGUAGUAGUAGUAGUAUAGGGGCAUGCGCUGUGACACAUAAGCUAAUGUAUGAGAUGUACAAUGAUCCUGACAUCUAUUAGAUGGUUGAACCAUAGCUGGGAAGCUAGGUCAAACCUCACCCCAACAACAACAACAACGAUAACCAUUCAACCCUUUAGCAUUCCGAUUACGCUGUCAGAUGCUUAUUUAUUUUACAUCGUUUUCAUUUCAUCGUAUUAUCUCAAAGCUUCCAUAUUUUGGUGAUGUGAUUUUUUUCAUUUGUAGAAUAACAUUGUAGGGUUGGUGUAAGAGGCUGGAUCUGGCUUGU